rnacentral:rRNA from 1 species
CUCCUAUAUUAUUAUAUUAUUAAUUAAUUAUAAUGAAAAGGAAUUAAGACAAAUCAUAAUGACCUUUAUAAUAUGGGCUAUAAACAUACUAUAAUAAAAUGAAAAUAAAAUUAUAUAAAUUUAAUGAAUUAAUAAUAUAAAACAUUUUAAUCUUUAAUAUAUUUUUUAUAUUAUAUUUAAUAUGAAUUAUAAUCUGAAAUUCGAUUAUAUGAAAUAAGAAUUACUAGUAAUACGUAAAUAAUUAAGUUACGG